rnacentral:lncRNA from 1 species
UGAAAUUUACCAUGGUCUUAGAGUUUGCAAACAUGAAGAACAAGAUAUGGAACUUCUUAACAUUAGCGCCCCAGAAAACAAAAUAUGAAACUUCUAUAAACCCAUAAAAAUCUUAUCUAAGCAUAAGUAAACGUUUAACUUUUUCUGAAUAUAAGUAAAUGUUUAACUUAUCUUCGCAAGUCCAUCUUUACAAGUUUACAACCUUUUACAUCGAAUUAUCAGAUGUAACAGGUCAUUCGGUUAGGUUGUGUCUCCGAU